CCUACGGGUGGCAGCAGUGGGGAAUAUUGCUCAAUGGGGGAAACCCUGAAGCAGCAACGCCGCGUGGAUGAUGAAGGUUUUCGGGUUGUAAACUCCUUUUGUCAGAGAAGAUAGUGACGGUAUCUAACGACUCAGCACCGGCUAACUCCGUGCCAGCAACCGCGGUAAUACGGCGGUUCCAAGCGCUACUCGGAAUGACUGGGCUGACAGAGCGCGGGGGCGGGCUAGCAAGUCAGCUGUGAAAUCCGAUGGCUUAACCAUAGAACUGCCUUUGAAACUGUUAGGCUAGAGUAUGGGAGAGGGAGGUGGAAUUCUUGGUGUAGCGGUAAAAUCCGUAGAGAUCAAGAGGAAUACUCAUUGCGAAGGCGACCUGCUAGAACAUAACUGACGCUGAUGCGCGAAAGCGUGGGGAGCAAACAGGAUUAGAUACCCGUGUAGUC
rnacentral:rRNA from 1 species